rnacentral:rRNA from 1 species
UACGUAGGGUGCGAGCGUUGUCCGGAAUUAUUGGGCGUAAAGAGCUCGUAGGCGGUGUGUCACGUCGGCCGUGAAAACCUGCAGCUUAACUGUGGGCGUGCGGUCGAUACGGGCAUCACUGGAGUUCGGCAGGGGAGACUGGAAUUCCUGGUGUAGCGGUGAAAUGCGCAGAUAUCAGGAGGAACACCGGUGGCGAAGGCGGCAUCCUGGACCGGCAUUGACGCGUGAGGCGCGAAAGCCCAGGGGAGCAAACGGG